GCUUUUGUUCAUAUUCCAUGUUAUUACAGCUUCUCCCAACAAACUAGGAAGGUUAUGCAUGCCGUGAGGGACUCAAAAUCUGCAAGGUUUCAUCCUCCACUUCAUUUAUUCAUUUCUUUUGCAGAUGUAUGACAACUAGAAGAUGCCUUAUUCCAUCCAUCCAUUCAUUUAUAUGCCUUGUUCCAUCCAUCCAUUCAUUUAUCACCAAAAUCCAAGCACCUGAUCAGCCACCAAUGGGAUUCAAGGUAAAACGGCCUACUUUUGUUAUCCUCAUUUUGCAUGGAUUGCAUGCAGACUUUCCUUUAUCAACCUGAAUGAAUUUUCCACUUGUGGUAUGCUUUAUCCGUUUCUCCUUAUAUUUAUUUUCCCCUCUUUGGUAAUCUUCUCUAGCAAUUGUUCUCUCAAAUUAAAUGUAUAAAAACAUGUACAAAUUGAAACCUCCAUUUUAGACCAAUCCUUGUUUAUGCCAUUUUUGUAAAAUAUGUUUCCUUUGCUAUAGUCAAUUCCUUGAAUCACUCUACGAGGCUCAAAACUCCUAUAUGAUUAUUUGACUUGGGGUUGUAACUAUUACAUUUGCCUUCAAUUCUGUCUAGUUUUCCACAGGGAUUUUGCGAGAUAUUGUUCCAUUUGAUCCAUCUACAUCCAUGUCUUUUCUGUUCUAUCAACUGUGUAAAUCUUUAAUGUGGAUAGGUUUGAUUUAUAUCAUCUUCAUAGCAUGUGGGUAUGUUGAGGGCAGAGCAGAGCAAUGUACUAUUUUCUAUUCCUGAGAACUGAAAAUAUGCCCAGAAAACAUGUUUGGUACCGCAUUUUUUCAUGCUUUUAUUUUCAGUCUCUUUAAGAAAAUUUAAGUUCUGGAAUCUUCGUAAUGUUUUGAGGAUUGGGAAUCAGGUGAUGGUAUCUAUUUUCGCAGGAUGACUGAAUUGAUUUGUUGUCAUAGCAGGUAGGGUUUUUUCUCUGUUCAGUCUAGUUGAAGAUGACUUUUGAUGGUGGGGGGUAACGGGAAUUAUAGGGCCUCUUUGGUAACAGUUUUUGAGAACGGUUCUCAAAGAACAAUUAUUAGAAGCAGUUUUCAACUGUUUUCAAGAACAAAAUUUGUUUAAAAGCUCAAAUUGUUUUUUCUUUGUACUAAAGAACAUGCAACUGUUUUCAAGAUCACUUACCAAACAGACCCCAAGACUUUGUCUUUGAGGUUGAAACAAAAUGUGAUGACAGUAAAGGGUGAGAGUAUUGUAACGUUGUACUCGGUGAUACGUGUAAAUGGGUGGAUUUGAUUGUAUAAUAAGGGUGUGUUUGGGAGGCUUUUUAUUUGAAGCAUUUUCUUUAGAAACGUUUUUAGUCUUGUCGAGAGCUAUAAAUGAUUUUUAAUUUUUAAAAAUACCUAAUUUUUUUUCUUUCAAAAACCUUUUUGUACGUUAGAAAUAUUUUAAAAAAUAAUUAUGUUAAUAUUUUCUAGGAAUUUGUCCCUUGUUACUAUUAUCAUGGAUUCGAUGGGGAAAAAGUUGAUGUGUGAAGGAAAACGAUUUGGAUGAGAGUGCUCUUGAUAAACACGUUCAUUUGAGAGUGAUUUUAAGAUGGAGCAAAAGCAUUUCAUAAUGUUUAGAAACGCUUUCUUAGGUGUUUGAUAAAUUUUUAAAAAUUCAAAGAAUGAUUUGAAAUGAUAUUCAUAAACAACGAUUUAGAUCAUUUUUACAAAAAUCACCUUUGAUUAUAUACAAAGUAUUAAAAAAUAUAUUAUCCUAACAUUGAUUCCUCAACUGUUUUUAAUGGAAGCAUUGAUAACAAAAAUACAUUAGAUCACUAAAUCUUUCGACUGGACUGUAGAGUAAAAAUGUUUUUAUCCUUUCUACUAUUUGAAAAUUUUUAUGUAAUAGAAAAUUUUUAUUUUAGAAAUAUUAAAAAUACUUUUUAAAAUCAACGGCAAACAUGCUCUUCUGUUUGGUAAUUUAAAAAACACUUUUUAGUACAAAAGUGUCUUUGAAGAAAAAUAAGCAUUUCGCAAUUUAAAAAAGGUUAAAAAAGAUAGUGUUUUUUUAAGAACAUUGGAUAAAUAAUUCUUUUAAAAAUAUCUAUAAAAAAUGUUUUCACUAUUCAAAUAUAAAUACUCUUAAGGCACGUUUAUUUUCUCUAGAAACAUUUUUUUCAAAAGAAUUGCUUACCAAAUACUACUACAAAAAGCACUCUAUAAAUGAUUUUUUUAACUUUUUAGAAGUGUUUAAUAAAUUUUAUUGAUUUUUUUUCCAAAAAAAACCUUUUUAUACUGAGGGUGUUCUCUAAAAGCAUCGUUAAACAAACUCUUAUAAGGUUGCAGAAAGCUUCUAAUCAAAAUUCAAAGUUUCAACCAUUUAAAGAAGCAUUCAACAAAAAAAUCAAUCGCAAGUUUCGAUCCAACAAGGCGACCCGCAAAAGCGAAAACGACUAUGUUGUUGCUUUUCUGGAUUUGCAUUAGGUUUUUGAAGUUAAUUGUUCAAGGGUUAACAUAAAUGCGAUUCUAAUAAACAAAGACCUAUUCCAUAUUUCAGUGAUAAGCUUAAUCAUACAAAUAAGAGCUCAAUAAUCAGCCUACCGCCAUGAGUUCCAAGUAGUAUUAUUUCAUUUGUAAUAUCACAAGAAUGCAGCAAGAAUCUAUUUGUAUAAGGAGUUUUAGGUUACCUCUUCAAGUAGCUUUGCUGAAAGAAUUCUUUCAAUGACAAGAUGUAGCGAUGUAGUCCAUGGAUCAGACCAUGACUUGGUUUCUGAAUACCAGCUAUCAGCCCCCGAUAAUCUGACAAUGUGGCAUCAGACAAUGGCUCCAAGAACUCGCAGUGAGCCAAAAUUUCAGGUGGGGGCAUUCCAGCAAUGAGGUUGGUUUCCAGUUUUGGUUUCCCCUUGGUGAGCUCUCUAGGGGCUUCAACUGAGGCACAUUCAAUUGCAGAGGGGGAUGCACCGGGGAUUACUUCCUCUGUGAAAGGAAAAGCUCUUGCAGCUUGCAAGCAGAACUCUAUCCAUUGAUGGAUUACUGGAGAUGGCCCUCUGACUCGGCCCCCGAUUUGGCGGCUUCUUUCAAGUUUUGAAGUAGAUGGGAUUGCCUGCAGAAAGGAUACAGCAGAAUAUCCUAGUAAAUACACUAGUACACCAUGGAACAUAGACCAGCAUAGGAUAUCCAAAUCAGCUGAAAUAUCAAAACAGAUUCCAAUUCUCAUUAUAUUUAUCAUUAACCUGGUUCUUUCCUCAAUUUUUUUUUUCUUUUUCUUUUUAGAGCAUUAUUGAUAUAUUAGGGUUUUUGUUUUUCUUUUUUAUAGGCGAAGAUCAACACACUGUGAAGAAAGAAAGUAAAUGCAUAGUAUUAUGAGAUGAAAUCAGGACAUACCCAAAGAUCUGCCCAUAAGCUAGCUCCAGACUUAGGAACAAUUACUGCAACAUUAGACAUGCGUUUGGCUGCAGGAAGGACAUCACUACUCCACCCAACAGCCACCCAUACAUCUCCCACACUAAGUGCUUUUAUAUAGUGUGUGCUGUCAAAGCAUCGUACCUAUAUAAAGCCAUUUGAAUGCGUAAGUCCCAUUAUUGAUAUAAAAAAUAACAACCAUUGUACCACUCCAAAUGCAAAAUAGCUUUUAUGGAAUUCAAUUUCUUUUUGUUUUUCCUUUUUGACAGCACAAAAAUGGUAAGUUACCCUUACAUAAGCCAUAACUCACAAGUUGUAUCAGACUGAUUACCGUAGUUUACAAAAUCCGGUAGAAUUGACUCAGAGACUCAAAGUUAAUACAUAACAUAUCAAGUCCCAGAGCAAUACCAUCCAGUUAUUUUUGGUUAAUCACAUGAUAUUUAUUUCUUCUAUUUUAUGUUUUUUUUCCUUUUUCCUUUCUUUUCUCCAUUUCUUUGAUGAACUCACGGCUCUCAUCCUGGAUGUAAGAAAUAUCUAGCCAAUGAACAAUACUUAUUAUUGCAUGAGCGUCAGAUAAAACAACCGACAUAAUCUCAAUACCUGUUUCGCAAGCAACAUAAGAUUCUGCUGUACAGCAUUCCUCCCACCAUUAACUUGCAAUUCAAUGUUGUCUGUGUUGUAGGAUGCUCCCAUGUACUUUAAAACAGCACCAACAACCUCUCGUGGAGAAUCAAUCAUUGAAAUCCUCCCUGCAAGUUCAGGUCGCCAUAAAUCUGCCCAGUCCUGCAACCAUCAACUACUUAGUCCCAGAAUAAUUUUUUAUAGAAAACAAAGUUUUUGAAAAAUCCAUAGCAAUAGCUAGAAGUUUUUAUAAUGAGAUGAGUUGAAGCCAUGGCAAUGACAAGCAAUUAUACGAAUUCAUGCCUUCCCAAAUAAUCGGACGAACAAAUGCAGUGGUUGUGGGGGUUCUAUAGGAGACACAAUUUGCUGUGGCAUUAUUGAAAAUAUUUAUUUAUUUAUUUUUUGAUACUUAAUAUUGUUGCUACUCUUAUUCCUUUGACUUGAAGAAAUUCAAACCUGGAAUUUCCCAAAUCCCAGUCCAACCAAUUGCCCCUUGAGCCAGGCAUUAUUGGAAGCAUUUAUGGACUGAAACAACAAUCACUUAGCUAACUUUGUGGGUACGUGAUCACAUGUUGUCCUAAGAAUUGUCCUAAGAAAGACAUCUCUUAAUGUCACCAAAAUUGUGCUUCCUAUGUUCAACUCAUUAUUGAUGUUGGAUUGAAAAUUGGUUUCUUGGAGAAUUGACAUUGGGAGGAUCUACCCCUUUGCCUUCUUUUGAUCCUUGUCAAUUUCCUUCCUCAGAACAGAGAUUUCCCAAUACCCACAAUUCUCCAUUCUGAAACUCAAACUUUCAGCUUCACCAAACUAAUCAAGAAGUUAAUGGCCUGUAUAUUCUAAUCCUUUCCUUAAACCACAUUUAUCUAUCUUCAUCCUUUCCAAAUGAAAGAAUAGGAUCCAUGGCCUUCAGUUUUUUCUAAGCUAAGCCCUACUUUUCUAGCCUUUCUAAAAGUGGCAACCCAACACUCCUUUGUCAUCACCAACUUUAUUUGAAGUCCAUGGCUAUUCCAAAAAUUGGGCCUUGGCAUAGUUUAUCUGAGAUUGAAGCUCAAGAAUGUAAAUUGUAUUUUCCAGAAAUAGAUUCCAAAAGAGGAACAGAUAAGAGAUUCUUGUUCAAAUGUUUAGUUAUCAUUAGGAAUUUGAGAUUCCCCUCUAUCUUAAUAUUUUAGUUGUAGGUUUUCUCAAUAUUAUGAGAGAAAUAGAAUUGAUAGAAAAAUUAUGAACACCCCUUCAAAACAUAUUUAUUAAUAACAAAAAGAUUUAUUUAUAGGGGAAUAAAAAUGGGGUUGUCUCUUUGAUUUUUUCCAUUUUCUAAAAUCAAGAAUAAAAUAUCAUGGGUGGAGUGGGUAGGAGAUCCAACCUUGUUUGGGAUGAACUCAUACCUAAGGGAAUUGAAUUAAAAUUUUCCAAGCAAUGUGUAUCCCAAAUAGGAUAAAUUUUAUAUUCGGCAAUACACAUCCAUUUUCCAGUUAAAAUGCCUAUGAAGCAAACCAGUUAUCAAGGUCUUUAAUGUGUUAAUGGCCCUCUAGGGGGUUGGUUGUAUUUGGAUAGCAACAACUUUUUGUUACCGUUUUGACUGCCCAAAGGAUUUCUGAUCUCAUCCCUCUUUAUAUCACAUCCUUUCAUGAUAAAUAAUAUGGGUCUCCUAUCAAAGAAAAAAAAUCAAAUUAUUAAACAAAGUUUCCUCUAGCCAUAGAUCAUUAUGAAGUGAAAUCAAUUCUUUUUUUAAUAGGUAACGUUCUUUUCUUUUGUUGCCAAUGGAACCUGGAACUUAGAACCUCCCACAUCUCCGCUUCAACCCUUUGCCCCUUUGAGCCAUGCCUCAAAGGUCAUAAUUUAUCAAUUAUGAAUUGAAGUGAGAAUACAGAUCAUUUCAUAAUCUGUUACAUUAACAGAACAUCUUAUGUUUUGAUAUUAAAUUUUGGUUACUUUUUUAUUCUAGAAUUAGAUUUUCUUUUAUAGAAGGGGAUUGGUCCAUACAUUGAGGUGGAUUUUUUUAUUUUUCAUUUGAAUUAAAAAGAUAAAGCAUUUUCUUUUUAAAAUUUUCUGCAAUUGAAUAUAUACUUUAUACAUUAAAUAUUCAAUUUAGGCCACAACUGAAAUCAGUCUCCUUUUGUACUACAUAUAAAUUUUUAUAAUAGCAUCCUUUGUUCUUGUUAGCUGUUACUUGAAAGUAGAACUCACAAAAGCAUUGGAAGGAAAGGCAAGGCUAAAUCUAGACUGUACUAAAUUAUGAGGACAAACGAAAAAAUGAAGGAAGAAAUAAUUGCAGAAGAGAAAACUGUGUUUAUUGCAAUUGCAAUUGCAAAAGAGAAAAUUGUUUUGAUUUCAAAAAUAGAUAUUUCAAUUAGGUUCAGGUGAAAUAACCAGAACACUCAUCCAGAUUAAAACAAAGUAAAAAAAGAGUAGAAUACUUUUACAAUAUAACAAUUACAAAAUUAUGAAAUAACUUUGUAUAGAUUAUAUACAUAUCCAACAAAUAGGACAGACAACCAUCUUGAUAUUGAUUUCAAGACAAUAAAGAUACGAUAAAACUAUCAAAAUUCUAAAAAUAAUUUACCUCUAUAGGAGCCAAUUUAUGCUUUUCAAAUUUGCUUUUCUUGUAUGCUAUCACCAUGCUUCCCCAUCGAUAUGGAGCAGCCCAUAUUUUACCUUCAGCAUCUAAUUCUCCUUUGCUGUUCCUGCGUAAAUAUACCUGAGACUAUCUUAGUAGAAGUUAAAUUGCAAAAUAGAACUGAAAAAUAUUAGUAACUUGCUAAGGUACUUGCAGUUUUUCUCAAUAUUAUCAUUUAAUUUUAUAUCCUUCAAUAUAACCAAACUAAAAUAUAUUAUAAUUUUAAUAAUAUUAUGCUUUUAAAUUCUAUAUAUUAUCACAAAAUGUCAUAAAAUAUUACAUAUAUUAUUUCUUCAAAGAAUUCUUAUUUUAUCAUUUCUUGAAGUUUUUCUCAAUAUUUCUAUAAGUUUUUAUCAAAUUUCCUCUCACCAAUAUUUUUUUUCAAAAUUUCCACUAAUAUUUCCUGAUAUGUACCAAUAUAUUCGUAAAAUCCAACUACCGAUAAAUCUAUGAAAACCAAUAUUUUUAUCCUUGAAUAUAAAGAGGUUUGAUGAAAGCUAAUUUGGUUAAAAUAUGACAUAAAGUAGACUUUAAGUUUUUAAUUGAGCUAAAAUAUUUUUAUUUAAUUAAAUUAAAAACUAGUCAAGCUCUUAAGCACUUAGACUUGGCGCUGGAGCAAUCAAUCUCUUCUUAAGAGCAUCGAGCGCUUGUGCAUUGGAGGCAGAAUUCUCUUGAUUUAAAGUUUCAAUUUCUCCAUUUUUAAAACAAGUUUUUUUGGAGAAUUCUAGAUCUUGUUCACUAAGGAUCUCCCCUUCUGAAUACCAUGCCAUAAAGGUUUUUUAGUUAGAUGCAAAUUUUGGAAACAUCAACUAUUAGCCUUCCCUCAUCCCAAAACUCUCUAAUGGUAUGUGAUUCUCAUUCUUGGGUUCAUGAGAGAGAUUCAUAUCCUCUCAGGAGUUGAGAUAGUCCACUGGAUGCAUGUGUGGUGUUGCGUCGUGAACAUGAAGACUAGUAUAGAUAUUGGGAGUAAGAUUUAGGAAGAGCAUCUAUCAAGUAAAUCUAUGUGCUUUUCUUUCAAUUGUGGAUUUGUGCUCUAUGGCCUCUAAACACUGUGGUUUUUACAUCCACAAAGUCUCUAAUAGACUUUGUGGGUAGUUUUCCAUGCAAAAAUCAUUGUUUCUUAUGCGAUUGAUUUACCUUCUUCUUCCUUUUAAAGAGAAAUUAAAAUUAAACAUUUAGAGUAAAAAAGUGCUAAAUAAUUAUUCACCCUCCUCUUAGUAUUUCAUAAUCAAUCUCUACAAACUUUCAAAUGGCUCUCUUGGACUAGCCUAUAGAUAAUUGAAAUUUAAAAAAAAAAAGCAUCAUAUAGAUAUUAACAAUUCAUAUUCAAGUGAUUCCUUUUUUAUAUCUUGGGGGGUUAUAUCAACUGUCAUUGAUCUUUCUCCCUAUCCGUUGGAUAUUUGAAAACCGGUAGAAAUAUACCUUUUAAAGAUAACAUAGAAGCUUCUAAACCAAUCUGUGUCAAAUUUGAAGUAACCCUAAGUUUGUAAGAAGGCAACUCAGCCAAAUGAUGACUAUGAUGAGGGAAUGAUGAAUGGUGACUAUGAUGAAGGAAUUAUUAUUAUUAUUAUUUUGAAGUAGCCCUAAGAUUUUAGGAAGGCAACUCGACUAAAUGAUGACUAUGAUGAGGGAAUUAUUAUUAUUAUUAUUAUUAUUAUAAAAAACAACACUUUCAUUGCAUUGAAAUAUUAAGUACAAAGGAGGAUGGAAAAUCCUUCUAAGAAGUACACAAUCCUCUAUACAAAGAAGGAUUAAAGAGGCAGGUAAGUGUAUAUUAGUUCAAAAGUUCAAAUCUAACUAUAAUUCACAUAGGUAUAAAAUCUCCUACAAAAGAAAUCAUAUGUCUAGCUCCACAUUUUGCUAAUGCAUCUACCAUAUGAUUGCCUAAGCAAGAAGCCCGAGAGAAGGAAUUUUUAUUAAGCUAUAUAUGAUGAGGUAACUAUUUGUCAAGCUACUUAAGUAUAUUGAACAUGAGUAAGACAUAUGACCUGCAAUGCACACACAGAUUAUGGGGCAAGCACAUACAUAGAAGACCCCAAUGAAAGGUACCUGAUCUUUUAAUAUUUAAAUUUAAAGGUUAGAGCAUUCUUUUAAACAAAAGUACAAAACUCAAACUACAGUCAUUACAACAUCAUGUCCUCUGAUAUCUCUAUUCAACUCAAACUUUCCUAGUCCCUUUGGUACACCUCAUGAAAAGACUAAUAUCACAGACGUGCAUUACAUACUAUUUAAGAAACAUAUGCAUAUAAAUUAUGAACUUAUCGGCUAACCAGAGAGACCAAUAGAGGAACCUAUACUCCCAUUAAGUUUGUAUUUUUCUCCUUCCAGUGACUAUUCAGUCUUGUAGAGGAAGUUUCUUUUGUGGAAUUUGAUUUCUUUUGAAGGGUUUCUUAUUUUCCUUUUUCUAUGUAUGCGUCUAAUGAAGUAUCUCUUAUUCUACUUCGCAUGUCACCUCGUCUUUUAAUAAAUAUUUGCACCCUAAAAAAUAGCUAUACAUAUAUUAAGAAUUUUUGAAGGGUUUCUUACUUUCUUUAUCAAAUUAAAGGAAAACUAUAAUUGAUUGGGCAGUGUAGAUAUAAACAAUAAUACUUAAAUUAUACCAUGAGCAUAGUUAAAAUGAUGGUGCCAAGAUAAGAAAGCAUUAGUGAACAAGAGCAUUCAUAGGCUGUGAGAGGUAGCUCUAAAUGUAAAAAAGAUGAUAAAAAUUGAGACGGUUGUUUGAUAAAAGAAGUUGGGAUGGUUCCUUUAUUUAUACAAAGACAAGAAACUAGUUCAGUAAGGAGCAAUAUGUUUCUGUAUUCUUACCUUCCAUUUAUAGCUUAACCCUCUAAACCAAUCUUGGUCUUCCACCCCUUGUAUGGGCUCAAUUAUACCCUUAUUAAUGGCUAAGUCAAGCCAGGAGUCACCAACAGUGACAAUAUCAGCUGCUAGGGCAGAUUUAGGCUCAAUUUUGCCUUUGCUCAAGGGCCGACAUAGUUCAGAGAAUAUGUCCUGAAGACUUCCACGGAAAUUUGACAGUAACCUUAAUCUCCUUCCUUGUGAUUGCAUAAAAUCCUACAUGUAAGAAAGCAAAUUAAAUAACAAAUCUACAAGGGAUUGGCAUAAAUUUGACCCAAAUAAUAAUAUCAAUAGUAACAAAAAAUAUCAUAUAUGACACAAUUUAUGAUGGGAAAAUCCUUCUUUGAUUCUGUAGCAAGAUAUUUGUGCAAUAAAAUACUUUAUCAACUGAAGAAAUAGUGUUCACAGGCAAGCCUAAAUGAGCCCAAUACAAGGCCAAUCAUACAAUUCCUUGAAAAAAAAAAAGAAAGAAAAAAGGGAUGAAUAGAGAUCAAAUUCCAAAAUUUUUUUAUAAUUUCUUUAGCAACCUAGACAUAUAGAUAUGGAUUAUGCUGCAAACCUUAACCCAUGAAGGAGGUAAAGAGCCACGUAGAGUGACAAUUCUCAGAGGGACUGUCAAAGCAUAUGGUUUAGACUUCCAUCUUUUGAAAGCUUCUUUCAACUCCUUAUCUUCCAAGUUUUCUGUAUCCUCACUUUUUCCAACACCAUCACUAUCUAUGUUCAGAAAAAUACAUUGCACAAUUAGAAGCAACCAGGAGCUUAAAUUCAGUUUUUUCCAUGGGAAUAAAAAUACAUAUCAGUGCAAUUGUUUUUUUUUUUUUGAUAGACCAUAUCAAUGCAAUUGUAAUUCAAACAAACCAUCCAGACCAAUAGUAAAAUCACAAUCAUGUUCCAACUGGUAUUGUCUCCUCCCAAACCACAAAAAACUAAUUCAAACACAAUAAGCCAAUUUAGCUUACCAUAUAAUAUGGUCACACAGUCCAUGAAUAACACCAUGCUUGGCUCCAGUUUGCUAAAAUCAGGUCCAGGAAGUUCAAGAACUUGCUUUGACCCACCACUUAGUGUCCCAAAAGGGGCCAGAUCUUACCAUCUGAUGAAUCCCAAUUACACUAAAACCCUUAUAAAAUAAUGCUCCUGGGACCAAGAGAAAUUAUUAUGAAUUUUUGUUUGCUAUAGCCAUGUACUUCAUCAAUUAUUAAUUUAUAUUUUUUUGUACCUUUCAAAGGAUUUCUAAAAAUAUUAUUAUCUUAUGCAUUUAGUGACAUUAUUAAUUUAGUACUCUGGGUCGAGUUGGGACUGGAAGAUUUUAUUAUUUAAACAAAGUUAUUAAUUUAUCAAACUUUCAUUUAUUGAGCUUUAAUUGUAAAUGAGUAAGUAAAUCACAUGCAUUUGAUUUUCAAAUUUCGCAAGCAUAUAUGCUUUUACAUUGUACACAAUGAAGCACGGAUACUCUUGUAGAGUUGCCAAGACAUAUUUGAAAUGUCCCAACAUAGGUAUGCCUUAGACCUCCCAAAUACUCUUAAGUUUAUUUGACUUCAUUAUAAUGGGAUACAAUGAAUACAACUAGGAUAUGGUAGGAUAUCUUAUAUUUUUCAACAUUUUUACACUAUGAAGCAUAGAUACUUUUGUAGAGUUGCCAAAGAAUAUGUGAUAUGUUCCAAGAUAGAUAUGCCUCAAACCUGCCAAAUACUUUUAAGUUCAUUGGCUUCAAUUUUUUUAUUAGAAAAAACAGUUUAUUACCAUGAGGUAGAUAUGAAGAAGGAUGAGAAAUUCUUCCCCCAAACAAAACCACUACAUAACUCUGAUAAAAUCCAUGAAGAACUAUCUAUUCUAGAUAUCAAUGAAAAUUGAUACAACCAGGAUCUGACAGGAUAUCCUGUACAAUGCAAUAAUGGCCCAAAAUUCUAAAAGGGGAAGAUGAUGCCCAACAAAAAUAAAGUAUGCUAUACCUUGCAGCCAAUGGUCAUACAUUCAUGGUCCUUUCCUACUCUAAGGCACCCAAGAACGAGCUGUUGCUACAUUUGCUCAACCAACAGGCUUGAGAUGCCUAAAUAUUUGGCCUCCAUCAUUAGUGCUAGAAUUGAUGCAUUGAUAGCCACUCUAAGCCCAUACUUGUGAUCCCCAAUUAGGUUACUCAGUGUUUGCCCAGCAUUACUCUCUUGAAUGUAUUCAAGUGAUGACGAAAUUGAAAGAAAACAAACGAAAGUAUAAGGGGGUUUCCUUCAGUUUUCAUUUUUUGGGAUAGUUUUUAUAGAUUUCUGAAGGCCCUAAAGUCGUACUUACAAGACUGCUAUUCAAAAACAGAAAUGAAAUUACAAUGAAAGAUUCUUAUAAUUAUUUCACAUUUAACAUAGUGUCUAUGAGCACACACAAGGCAUCCACCUAGAUCUAUAACUUCAUAGAAAAUGACCUGUCAAAAAAAAAAAUCACUUCAUAGAAAAUGAUUCAUGUUAUUAACAUACUGGAGCAUGAAACAUAAUUUUGUGCAAGAUCAAGAACAUUUGUGUAAAAUCAAGUACAUUUGUGCACUAUAUCCGUUCAAACAAGCACAAUGAAGAUCUCAUUCCAAGCAAAAGACACCACUCAAUUUUAAAUUGUAAUAGCGAGAAAGCUGCAAUUCCUCUGAAUUGCUGCUUCCGAACAGACACGUGAUACAAAUGAUCGAUAUUUUGAGAUCACAUACCAUCGAAAGCAAAUCGAAAUCGGUAAGCCCACUCUGUAGACGAAGCAUUUUUUUGUUUUUCCUGGUAAAAAUGCUGGUAUACAACAAAUUUUGAAUAUCUUUUCUGAUUUGCUUCUCGAAGCAGACAAGGUAAACACAUAUCCUUCAUUUCUAAGCAACAUUUUACAGGACAUGCCCAUUAAAUUUAGAAACUUUCAAACAAAAUUGUUUUUCGCACUACCUUGAAUCCUCUGCUCCUGAACAGUUCGACACUCGGCGGCUACAACCGCCGGAAAACGUCCUGAAGUGGCAGAGCAGGCGCGGACACUGAACCCGAGGAAGAGAAUAGCAGAGACGGACGCAAUCUGAAGCAAGUCGGGAGGCAGUCUGGAGGGCUGCUCCGGUGGUGGCGGAGACACACCGGAGGUGGGCAACGCCGGCAAACAUGGAGGCCGGUACCGUGGACCGGAAACGCAGGAGAAGUUGAGGGAGAAUCUGAGACUACGAUGCUGUAGGAAUGGAAGGUUAGGGUUUGGUUUAAGGUCUUGGGAACGGUGAAGUGGGUGUGAGAGAAAGGAGGAGGAGGAAGAAGAAGCCAUUAAGCGAGGAGAAUGGAGACCGGAUAACACUUCAUAGUUAAGAGGAUAUAUUUGUCUUUUCAUAUUUAUGUCAAUGGCCUUUUAGUAAUUAUGAUAUUUCAACGUCCAACUAAAAAAAAUAUUUUAAAGCUUAUAUAUUAUUUUAAUUUUGUUUAAAAUUAAAAUUUAAAAUUAAAGCUUAUUUAAUAUGAAAUUUUUUUUAUUGAAUUUAAACAUACAAACCAUAACUACAAAUCAUCUUUGUUUGAGACUAUUUGAUAUUAGAAGACUAUUGUAUGUAUAUUCAUAGCUUAUGAAUAUCUUUUAAGGCUUAUUCAUAUAUAAUUUUUUUAAAAAAAAAAAACAUUUGUAAAAAUAAUUGAAAAACAAUUAGGAAAAAUUUUAAAAGUGAAAAAUCGUGAAAGGGUGCAAUGUAAGAUGUACAUUUUCGAACAUAAUUGAAAUGUUCUUUCUGGUGAUUUAAAAAAGUUCAUCCUUGGAAUUUCGAACAAUAAUCGUCAAACCUCCAAACUAGCACAUAACUCAUUUAAGUUUCUCCAAAAUCUUGUUGGACCAAACAAGACAGACAUAUAAAAAAACCCGAUCCAUUACCAUCCCAACAAACAUAGAUAUGUUGCUAAUCUCUCUUUUUUUGAAAAUAAUAAUAUAUUUCAUUGAAUAAUCAAAGCAAUCAUGUUAUUACACUACUUACAAAGCGUGUCAUAUUAUGACAUUACACACAAAUUUGAUCCGGAUAAUUGAGAAGGAAAAUACAAAUAGUAAAGAGAAAAAUUACAUACAAAAAUUACACAAUAAAAUAGGAGAAAGUGCAUUUACAUUAAGUAUUAUACAAACUUCCACAAGGAUGAUUUCAGUUUGGAAUCAUGGCGAGACUUGCUUCUUCAUUUAUCACGCUGGCCGGAGCUUUGUCACGCCUUUCUACAUAAGCAGAGGGAAACCAUCCGGCCGUGCCCUUGCAUUCACCCUCCGACCAUCCGUUGGGAGCCACCUGAUGAUAUUAUGGCCAGAAAUGAGAUUUUGAAAAUUCAAUGAACUUUGAUAAACUUGGUAACUUUUUUUAUAGGUAAAUAAGAGUAUAAAUUAAGAAAAAGGCCUCAAAAGGCACAACAAAUUACAUUCGAUGUAUAUAAUCGCCUUCUAGGCUAAACAAGGAAAGAAUAAACCGAAAAGAUUCUCUCCUUACUUGAAGCUCAGGUUGACUCUACAUGAAUAUUCGGCUUUGAAUGCCAAGAACACUAUGAAUGGUUCAAAGUAUAGUACGUAUUGGUCGAGUCAUAUCUGUCUUUGAUCAUGAUUGUGAUGAGUUUGAUACCGGAGUUAGUAUUGUGUGAUUCGAUAAUAAACUAUUUUCAACUUAAGUAUAGAUCAUUUGACCAACUCAUGGUAAACCUCGAAGUUGCAACACAAAAAAUUCAACCUGAUUUAUUUUUUAUCAAUCACUUUUUAUCAUUCUUAUUUUUUAUUUUCAAGAUAAACCAUUAUUAAGAAUUGGCACUUGUUUUUUUUUUUUGUAGGCAUUUAAAUUUUUUUAAUUCUUAACAUGGAAAUACAAAACAUUGAAAGUUCCAAUAAGCUGUUAAAAGGUCUCAAACAUUCCUCUUAUUGCUAGAUGGAUUUGCAAUAGAGGCAGGUGGUACCUGGCGAACGACAACAUAAUCAUCAACAGAAAGACCGAGCUCUCCAUCUGCUUGAGCAUCAAAUGGGUGUAUAACCUGCACGAUGAAAGAACAAGAAGAUAAUACUUAAAAAUGAGAAGUCCACUAAGAAAAUAUUAAAUGACGUUGACACAAACUUCUCAUGAUAGUUCAGCUACCACAGACAAAAACAAGGGUUGCAGACAGAAGAUACAUAGUGAAGCCAAUUAUUCAUUGUUAGGAACCCCAAGGUAUACACAAAGGUCAUCAGUUUGUUUAGAAAGUUAUAUUUUUCUAUUUCCUUGAACAAUCCUAUUCUGCAGAUUUAAUUCAAAAUUACACAGCCAUCUAGGUUUUUAUAAACAUAUUUAUGAAAAUUUUCAUUUUUUUUUUUUUUUUUGGCAUUAGAAAUAAAACAAGGAAAGAAUAAAUUUUGUCCUUUAACAUUCUAGAACCAACUGAAGCUCUGAAAUGCGCUCCACCAAAACUUACUCUAGACCCCAAGAAAAGUUCCCCUAGAUCUUAACCAAAAACUCUUUUAAACUGUGAAUUUGUGGUUCUCCCAUUAUCAAACACUUCCUAGAACAAGCCCAAGAGUAAACUUGUAACGAAGGAUGAAAUAAUUCCUCGGAUGUGGAUAAAAAGGUUAUUUGACCUCUACACAACAUUAUGGUCAUUGCCUACAGAAAUUGAAUAAUAUAUUCCCAUUCAUUUAAGAAUAGUGUACAAAAGAUACUUUAUUCUGUGACACAACACCUAGCAUGAGAGGAUGAUGAGCUGCAAAAUAUAAUUUGAUGUGGUGAAAUAGUCGCCAAUAGUGCAAUGAAACAGAUUACGAAAGAAAAAAAGAAUGGAGUAAGUGAAGCAAGAACUGGGAAAUUUAAUAAAACAGGGAGUAAUCCAUAGGCAGUAAUUAAUGGAUGGUCUAGGCGAUCAAAGACUUUACUUUUGCAAUAAAGUAUGAACCAUUUUGAUUUGCAUGUCCAUGAUUGUCAAAGCCAUUUGAAUUUGCAUCCUUGGAUGUGGUAGGAACGCAAACAUCUUUCUCCAUAGUUAUUGGCUGAGAUGAAGACUCGUUUUGUUUCUUCUCCAUAAUCAUCUAAUUCCAAUAAUAAACAUGUGGAGAAAGUAUUCCAGUCAUAAUCUUUGUUAUACUGAAAAGAAAUAUGUAAAAAGUAAUGAGAAUAGUAUCAGCUCCUGAUGAAGGUAUUUGAUACUCAUGAAGAACAGUACAUAAUUUGUCUCAGUAUGAAAACAAAGCAGGAUGUAUAAUUACAAACCUCAUCGUAUAGUUUCUCUAAAGUAGCAAGUACAGUUUGAUGAUAAGAUCUCUCAGCUUCCACCUGUAAGUUGAGUUCACUUGAGUUCCCACAACCAAACAACAUCUAUUAAAAGUCAAUAAUGCCUAACAUGAAUUUGUUUAGCAAAAAUGGAAAUAAAGAGGCUUGUCUGAGUCAAAUGUGCAAAACAAGUUCACCAUCAUAAGUUUCACACAUAUACCAGGACCUUUAUAAUGAAAAGUAGAAUGAGAAUGUGCUGAAGCAUUCUAGGUUUUAUUUUUUCUUAUGAGUGAUGUACAUUUUUUCCCCUACUGGGACUUGAACUUGAAGCCUCCCACAUCCCCAUCCCAGUCCCUGCCAUAAGCCUUGCAACAACCAACACUGGGCAACGCGGCAGGAUUCAAACCUAGGACCUCAAACAUCCCAACAUUCGCCCUAACCAAAUGGGUCACCCCGACAAGCUUUUCUAGAACUCGUAACAACUCUUUUGAUAAAAAAUUUCAAGUGCUGGAAAGGUUAAAAGUGCUUCCUAGAAUAACUACCAAACAGAUUCUAAAAGUAAUAUCUUUGCUUAUAUAAAUUUUUUUUUUUUUAAAAAGAAGACUCGAGAUGGUUUUUGGAUUGCUAGGAAAAGCAAACAUUUUUUAGGAACCAAAAUGUAUUAUCACUACAAACAAAAAAUGUGUUACUGAACUUGAAAGUGGGGAAUCCUCUUUUUGGGUACAAUCUUACUUUCAAGGACAUAUGUCCUCAUAAAAAGGCAAAAUGGUUCAGUUCCCUUCAUAUCUCUUAUUCCAUCUGCUCCUGAUCAAACAGAAAGGUUAACCCCAAAUCAUAAAAGAAUCCAGGACACUGGGAAAACAUGAAGUUCAUCUUUUCUCUUAGAAAAGGGUGAUUAAAAUAUGAAAGAGAAGUGCUCCUGUUGCAUUCUUCUUCUUCCUCUUCUUCCUUUUCUUCUUUUUCCUUUUCAGUGAUUCAUUUAUGUAACCCCAUGGACCAUGUCCAUUUUAUUUUAUUUUAUUUUUGGACACAUAAUUCAUUAAAGGGAUAGCUAAACCUGACAUACUUGCAAAGUAUAUACAGAUAAGCAAGUGCAAAAAGGCUCUAAUGCAAAAUAAAUGGCCAUGGAAAUCAAGAACACCCUGUCUACCACCCAUCCAUAAACAAGCGUUAAAAAAAUUGAAACAAUAAUUGAAAAGGUAUUUGUGUAUGUUGGUGGGUCCCCAAAUUUUCUGCAUUGAUAUUUCUUUGUCAUUCUAUCAUAGAAAAAUAGUACAAAUACUUUGGCAUAUCAAAAUUUCAACAUCAUCUCCCUUGGAAGCCAUUUUCAUGGGGAGAUACUGGGUAUCAAUGAUAUUGUUGUAGUCAUUCAUGCUCAACGACAUUGAAGAGAGAGAUAUAGAAGAAAAAAAAAAAGAUGUGACAAAGCAUGAACAAGAAUUGUAGAGAAAAGAUUGGAAAUUAAGUCGUAAUAUAUGGGAAAUUGAAUGUGUAUGGAGGCCCAUACCACCCCCUUGAGCCAUGAACAAGUCAAUUUGAUUCAAGCACUUAGCUAAUUAGCCAAGGAUUUUGAACUUAAGAUGUGUGCACUUGUUUGGUAUUCCACUCUAAGAAGCAAUAAUCUUCAAGUUGAAUUUAUGUAGCAAUACAAGUUCAUGAACCCUCGAUUAAAUAUGCUCAAGUAAAAGGAGGGUAAUAAAGAGCACCCUUCUUGGUUAAUCUUGUUUGUCUAUGAGCAGAUUUCAGAUCUUAAGAUCAAAUUAGACAACAUGAAUUGGGAUUAAAUCUCUAGUCUGGCUUUGAUGCUUAAAUGCAAAGUCUCUUAUUAGCCCUUAUCCUACCUGUGUUUUCCAUUAGGGGGGAAUCUAAAGGCAAACACUUUUUGGGAUCUUGUGAUUGACAGAAUUUCACUGAGAUUGGGUAGGAUGGAAAAGAGCUUUUUUGUCAUUGGGCAGUAGAAUUACUAUAGCGCAGUCCUGUUUGUCUCACAUUCCUCACUAUUUCCUCUCUUUUCAAGAUCCCAACUCUAGUGGCUUUUAAGAUUGAGAAAUUGUAAAGAGAUUUUCUUUGGUCAAGGGUGGGGGAGAGUAAGAGGGAUCACAAUGUUAGUUGGGAUCUAGUAUACAAGUCAAAGGUGGGAGGGGGUUUAAGCUUUGGGAGGAUUUUUAUGAGGAAUGGAGCCCUUCUAGGGAAGUGACUUUGGAGGUUUCCUAAGGAAAGUUUCCCUCUUUGGCAUCAAGUUAUUUUGAGCAUCUAUAGAACACACCCCAAUGGGUGAGGCACUAACAUUAUAGUUAGGUGGUCACACCAUUCCCCUUGGAAGGCCAUUGCAUAAGUUUUUCAGAACUUUUUUUAGAUAUGCUUGUUUUUUGCAGGUGAUGGGACAAGAAUGCAUUUUUAAGAAGAUUUGUGGUGGGUCAACCAUUGUGUUCUAAAUUUCCACACCUCUUCAAAAUUGUUACAAAUAAAAAUCUUUCUAUCCCAACUACUUUAAACAUUUCUCCUCUUUUUUCUUGGAACUUUAAUUGUAGUUGUAACCUUAAUGAUUUGGAGAUAGAGGUCCUUGAAACACUCAUGUCUCUCACACUAGGGUGCACUUGACUCCAUCCGUUCUAGAUAUAAGAGCUUGGUCCUUAUCUUUUUGGGGCUUAGUUUUGAGAAAGUCUUUUUUCUUAGCCUUAUCUAAUUCGAUAGACACAACUCCUUUCACUACAACUAAAUUUCUAUAGAAACCUAAAGUCUCAUCUAAGGUAAAAGCUUUUGCUUGGUUACUGGCUCACAAGAGGGUAAACACCAACACCAUGCUACAGUUGAAAAGACCUUACAAAACCCUUAACCCUAAUUGGUUACAUUACCUGUUGACUUUAGGCCUCUGGCACAGGCCAUUCAAAUUAGUUAGCUUGGAUUUAGUUCCUCCUAAGAGCAUAUGUGAUAUGAUGUCCAUCUCAUAUAAAAGUUUGGGGAGCUCCAUCAAAGGCAAAGUCCUGAGGCAAAUCGCUUAUCUCACCUUGAUAUGGAUUGUGUGGAGGGGAAGAAAUGGUGGGAUUUUUUAGGACAAGUAGAGGACUAUGGGAUCUAAUUUAUUUCUAUUCAUUCUUCUAGGCCUCUUGUUUCAUGAUGUUUAAGGGAAUUCCUCUUAGUGUUGUUCAACUUGAUUAACACUCAUUGUAUAAGUCAUAAGGGUGGUUAGUUUAGAGAGGAUUCCUCAUCCUUCUCAUGUACUUGCUUUACCCAAUUCUAAUACACUUUGUUUCCAAUCAAAAAAUGAAAAAAAGAAAAAAGGAAGGUGAUAAAAUAUACAAGAUUCUUCCACAGGUUAGCUAAUGUGCAUAGAGGACUUAACCAUAUUGGGAAGUUAAAUAUUGAAGGUGUUCUCAUAUCCAAUGGGGAGGUGAUCAGUUCAGAGAUCAUCUCAGCAUUUUUAUAGGCUCUUUAAAGAAAAGUAUGGUUGGAGAGUGAGGUUUGAUGGGUUGAACUUUACUUCUAUUGACAAACAGGACAGGGUUUCAUUAGAGAUAAGGUCCUUAUUAAGUUGAAGGGAGAUAAGGCCCUUGGUCCACAUAGUUGCUGCUAUGGCUUUUUGUCAGUGUAACUAAGAAGAUAUGAAGAAGCCUUGCCGGAUUUGAUGGCAAUAUUCUAUUAAUUUUUUUAACAUUUGUAGUGUUGAUACUGAAGAAAAGGGGUGUAAAGGAGCUUAAGGAUUUUAGACCUAUUAGUGCAGUGGGAAUGUGUAUAAAGUAAUUGCAGAAGGCCUAACCCUAAGAAUGAGAAAGGCAACUAGCAAAGUGAUUUUGACUAUCAGAAAGCUUAUGUAGAAGGCCGACAGAUCUUACACGUGGCAACUGGCCAUGGUAGGUGAUGAGGCUACGAUUCACAGUAUGAUAUUUUAGGGGUUGUUUGCAAACUAGAUAUUGAAAAUCCUAUGACCGUGGAACUCCCUUUUUUUUUUCUUUUUCUGUCUCGUUUUUUUUUUUUUUUUUUUUGGUAUCUGCUCUAUCUUGUGGGAUUUCAUGGAAAAGUGGAUUAGAUGGAUAGGAGCUUGCACUUCAAUCCACUUUUCUGUUCUCAUCAAUGGAACCAUCCGGCUUAUUUGAUAGCUCUAGGAGGUUAUGCCAAGGGACUCUCUCCUUUCUUAUUCAUUGGAGUUAUGGAAACUCCCAAGCCAUUGAUCAAAAGGGCUGUGGAAGGUCACUAUUUUUGAACUGCUUGUUGCUGAUAGCUCCCUUCUUGUGUGGAAUAACUUAGGACAGCUGGAAUACCUUAGACAUGUAUUGCUUUCUUUUAAUGUUAUUUUUGGCUGAAGGUAAAUUAGAUAUUAGAUAAAGAGUCAGCUCAAUCCUGUGGGUCAUGUGGGAGAUAAUACUCUGGUGGCUGCCGAUGCAGGGUCUAUAAGCUACCUAGUUCCUUGGACUUUCUCUAUAAGGCUAAGUUAGUGUAGGAUUCAGUAGUGGAGAGGUUUGAGCAGGGAUAUUAACCACUUGAAAGCAUUGGCACCUCUUUAAAUGAGGUCACCUACUAUGAUCAAGUGGUUACUGGUGUAUCCUUCUCCACUUUUGUCAUGUCAAUCUUGGUUUUUACAAUUUGAAGAAACUACAACAAAAUUAUUUUAUGUUGGGUGGCUUAGAGGGAGGGAGGAAGAUGCACCUUGUUUAUUGGAAUGUGGUGUGCCCCCCCAAACAAAAAGAGGGCUUAGGAAUUAUAAAGUUGGACAAAGUAAGUUGAAGCACUUACCAUCAAAAUGGAUAGCCUUUGGAGAAGUAUGAGAUUGAGAUUGAGAUAUAAGGAUGCCUAACAUGGUGAGGGAUUUGAAUGGGAAAGGUUUCUUAAAGGCUGUGGGGGGUUAUGGAUGUGUUCACCAAGUUCACAUGCCCUUUUUAUGGGAAAUGGGCAAAGAAAGAGGUUUUGGCAUAGUGCUUGGUAAUGCAACUUCUGCUCAAACUGAGGUUUCCAGAGUUUUUAUUAAGGCUAGAUAUGAAGAAACAUCAAUAUCUAAUUUCUUCAGUUAUUAGUGCUGAUGCUUCUUAGCAUCCAAGAUUUGUGAGAGAUUUUUCAAGAUUGGGAAGUAGAGAUGGUAAGAGAAUUCUUGGAUAUGAUUACCAAAAAGGUUGGAUAAGGGAGGAUGGGUUGAAGGGAUGAUUCAAUAGCCAAUGUGUUUCACUGAAAGUUUUUUACUUAUUGAUUUUUGGGGGGCUGUUUCCUGGCUAAAAACAUUUGGAACUUGGUCACACUGUAAAAAAUAGAGUUAUUUUGCUUACAUAUUUAUUUACAUAUACAGUUUAGGAGGGAAUCCUGACCUUGGAUCAUUGUAAGGUGAGAGGUUGGAGCAUGACAAUCAUUGUUGCUUAUGUAAAAGGAAAGAAGAAUCAGUACACUAUCUUCUGAGUCAUUGCACACUUGCCUGGGAGCCUCAGACUAUGGUGUUUAUGUUAUUUCAGAUUACUUUGAUGCUACACUGAUACUGGAAAGAGGUUCUCAGUAGUUGAAGUGAAUACUUUAGUGCAUUUGGAAAGAAGAGAAUAAAAAGAUUUUUGAGGGAAUGAAUCCACAAUGCACAAAGUUAAAGAAAUCUUCUUUACAGUCUUGGACUGCAGGUGAUUCUGGUAGCAUGAGACAAUCACAGAUAAUUUCACUGGUAGCUUGGAUAGCAUUACUGGAUAAGGAGAUUGGUCACUUUCUCUUAGCAUUCUUUGUAAUAACACAACAGCCACAAUCUGAGUAUACUUCCUGUGUAAAUUGAUUAGGGGCCCUUUGAUGCUCUUUCAAUCUAAUUCUGUUAUCUAUCAAAAAGAAAUAAUAGAAUAAAUAUGGUUUAAUCUGCCCAAAACAUCUUGCGAUGCUACUACAGUCUGCUAUGAGAAGCAAAAAAAUAAUGAGAAUCUCACGGAAAAUAAGGAUCAACUAAUGAAUAAAUACACUACCAUAGUAAGAAGCCGUUGGAAUGUUAUUCGCUGCUGCUGAGCCUCAACUGACAGCAUAGCAGCAGUUGCUUCUCUGCCAAGUGCCAUCAUAGCAGAUUUAAGCUCACUCAAUUUUGCUUCUGCACUUUGAAGCUUUAUGGAACUCUCUGCAGAAGUAGCAGGGUCCCUGAACUUUGCUUGGCGCCUUAACACAUCAGCUGCCUAUGAGAAAAUAUUAACCACAUAUUUACUAUGUCUCCUGUACCACAUGAACCAUACACAACUAGAUGGUAUAUUAAAAAGUACCUGGGACUCCACCUCUUGGCGAAGUCUUUCAUAGCGGUGAGUCAAGUGGCGAGCAUCCUCCAAAGGAGCUCCUGUUAUUAAUACUCGUAGUGGCUCAGAAACCUACAGAUGCAUAACCAAGCUAUAACACAAAUAUAAUAUAUAAAAAAGGGCAUAUUCGAAGACCAAAUUCAAAAAAUGGAGCAUUAGAUUAUGGUAACAUAUCCCAAAAUAAGCAUUGUGAUUACUAGGUAAUACAAAGAACUGGUAAGCUAUAAUAUCAUCUGAUAUUUUUCUUGUUGGAACCAAAAAGAAAAAGCACAACACGCAUGGGGUAUGCUUGUAUACCUUUUCUUCUGUUGCUUUUUGUUGUUUACCUUCUUUCUCUCAAUGAAACAUCCCACAUCUGACACCUAUUCAUUUAUGUUAGUAAAAGGUUCAGGAAAGUACGUUCAUUUGCUAACAUGGUUCUAGAAUGAUAUGAAACUUGUGACAUGAUUUUAUGCAUGAAUAUUGAUAUCUGUGCAGAUAUAUACGUAUCUGUUAAUGUAUCAAAACUCAACUAUUAUCUAAGGUAGACAAAUUUAUUUCUUUUCAAACCUCAUAGGAGCCUAUAAGGCCAUAACAACCAACCUUACUUCUCUUGGGUUCUAGUCGUCUAACCUGGCAGCUGGACAAGCAAGGAGCCUUAGAGUCAGUCAGAGACACUUGAUCGUGAUUUUAUGCCUCCUUUGGCUAUACCAAUAAUUGGAUCCAAUGAUAGAUGCAUCUUAGGUCUUGGUUCUUAUAGUCCUUUUUUCCCAGGUUAUACUUGUAUUUGUAGUUUUGGCUUACUAGCCCAUUCUUCCUUGCAUUUUUAAUUUAUUAUUAAAUGAAUUGUUUUUUUCUAAUAAAAAAACACAAUAAGAUUAAAGAAACAACAUGUCAAUAUUUUAUAAGGUUCUAACAAAAUGCCCUCAAUAUUUGAAAUUUGUAAUGCUACAUCUCUGCAUGUUAUUUUAGGUAACACUUAGCAUUGCACAUGUUUUUCAUGCUAUUGAGUGCAACAAGCACUUCAAAAUGCUACUGAACUAUCAAAAUGUUGGCAUAUACCUGAUCACAGAAGACCCCAAGCAAAGUCUCCCUCUCUUUUUCCAUUGAACUAUGUGAGUUGCCAAAGUAAAGAGCAGCUCUUGCAAGAGGAGAACCAGUGCUUUGAUUCUCAGUUCCAUAUUUGCAACAAUCUUCAGCCAUCCUUCUUACUAGAAAUUUUGGGAUGAAAAAUUUUGCACAUUAGCCUUGUAAUGGAAGCAACAUGCUACAAAGAAGCAAACCAUAGUACCUAUCUCCAUUUGCUUUGAGCUUGUAGAAACAAAACCUUCAAUACCACGAACAAUGUCCUUCUGAAAAUGCUGUUCAAAAUAAUGAAAUUUAAAACUUUGAUCAAUUAAAAGCUUUGUCUACGAGCUAGCGGAAGUUGCAUGAGAGGAUCAUUCAUCAGACAAAUAAGCCAGCUUGUUAAUUCCAAGAGUACUAGAUAAAGGUUCGAUGAUUGUACCUUAGCCGUCCUUGUAGAAUUGUACAAGUUCUGUAAUUGCCUCUGUUCAGCUUCAUCAACCACAACAGUUUCAAUACCAAAAUGUCCCAAUUGUUUCAGAACUGCCUGAAAAAUAACAAACAGUUAAACAUUACAACAUGACAAAAGACACAAAUUAUAAAAAUAAAUAAAUAAAUAAGCAUACAAGAAAAAAAUGUCAUUUCUAUACUUAAUAAAUUUGAGAAUAAUGCAAUUUGGUUUCUUUUUCCAUUGAAUUGCUAGUGGCAAACAUAACAGUAGUAGUAAUUACCAAAAAUAUCAGAUAUGACUGUAGAUAAUCCAAAGGAUAUUAAAUUAAUGACAAGAAUCUCUGGAUUUUGAAUGUAUGAUACCAAUCUCCAGAGAUCAACACGCUGGGCAGAUGGUCAUCAUGUCCAGUUUGAUGACUUAUUUUUUGUCAUCUAGCUCUACCUAAAACCAUAUCCUCAUCCUUGGUCAUAUAUUGUUUCUUGGGUUUUUAGUUUUAUUUAAAAACAAAAUACAUUUGAUAGGCCUUUUUUUAAAUUUAAAUAUGGAUAUAAAUAGAAUAUUGCAUUAAUUAUUACAUAUAUGCAUUGCAUGUGACAUUAUUUCUAGUAGUUUUGAAUGAGAAAAUAUAUUCUUAGUUAACAUUAUAUAGCAUGAGAAGAAUAAGGUUCAAUCGAGUGGAGUUCUUUGUUCAGCAUCUAAAAAUUUUGACUCAAACAAGAAAAAUAUAAAAUAUCUCAUUAAAAUUAUUUAAAUUUUUCCACUCCUCUCCACAUCUUCUUACUCCACUUCUGAACUUUUCUUUUCCUUUUUUAGGUAGUUUCAUUCAUUUUCUUCCCUUCCUCUACAUCUUCACAUCACAAAAUUUUAUCAAUCAAAUUGAUUCAACAAAUAAAACCAUUAAAUGAAAUUAAUAUAAAAUAUCUCAUGAUUUUCUUGUACCAGCUUAAAAAUUGUUUUUAACAAUUAAAGACAUUAAAACAUAAGCAUCUCAUCAUUUCAUUUUUGCAAUUUUUUCAUCCAUCUUCUGCCUCUACAUAUUCUUCAUCUGUUCCCCCUAUAUUUUCUCACCAUAAAAUUCUAACGAAUUCUCAUCAGUUUUUUCCUGUUUAAAAAUUGAGUUUCAUAGCACAUAAAAUAUUGAACUGCUUUAAAUACUUAUGAUUCUAAUAUAGUUUUUAAACCACAUGUAUCCCAUGCAAUUUUACUAGUACUUAUAGAAACUAGAUACAUUUCAUAUAGAGGUUGCCAAAAAUGAUUUGUCAUAUAAAAUCACCAUCACCAUACUAUUAUAAAAUUUAACAAUUAAUAUCCAAAAUUCAUAUAUAUAUAUUUUUUUAAAAAGUGCUAUAACAUCAAUAGUCUGAAAACCCACAUCUUAUUUGCUAUAAGAUUUUGUUAGGUAGCCAAGAAAAUAGAAGGAAAGAGAGAAAUGAAAAGAAAAUACAAACUGAAAAACAAAAAAUCAAUAUUCUUUCUGUUUCUUUUCUUUUUUCAGCAGCCAGAGGGAGCAAAAGUAGUUUUAAGAUCAAAAUUACAAAGUUCAUUCUCAUUUCUUUCCUUUUCUCAGUAGUCAAAUGGAGCAUAAAAAUUAAGAUAAAAAAAAAAAAGGUACCAUGGGAAAAAUAAGGGCCAAUUAACCAAAGCUAUUAGUUAUAAGAUUGAAAUUAUCAAUUUUCUUUCUUUUCUUUUCUUUUCUUGACAGCCAAAUGGAGCAUUAGAAAAAAUAAAAAUAAAAAAUCAGUAAAAUAAUGCUAUAACAUCGAAAGUCCCAAAAUAGAACCCAUGCCUUGAUUACAAGAAGUUGAAAAAUUUUCUGUUUCGGUUGCAGAGAAGACAGAAGGGAAAAGAGAAGAAAAGAAUAGAAACAGAGACUAAAAAUAAUAUCAUAUAAAGGAACAUCAAUCUUGUUUUGCGUGAGAACUUGUAUCACUGUUGUCACAAUUGUACCAUGAGGAGAACAAGCCCCAAUUGGAAAAAAUCAUUCUGAAAAUUUUAAUUUAAUUUUUAAUUCACAUGCAUCAUAUGGGCAAUUUUACUAGUAAUUACACAAGCUAUAUAUGCUUCAGUCAUAAACAAUAACUACUGAUACUCAAAGAAAGUUAUCCAAGCUGUCUAAAGAUUCUUAUACAAUACAACAAUUAAUACCCAAUUUCAGGGGGUUGGGAAAUCUUAUUCAAUGUAACUAUAAAGACUCUGUUUGCUAGCUGAGAAACCUGAAGGAGAAAGAGAAAAGGAUAAAAACGAGAGACUGAAAACAGAAAGCAAAACAACUAUAUGUUAUGGUUUCAAAUCAGACAGUAUAGCAUUAUCGUCAGAAUUGCAAAAAGCUUCAAUCCAUCAGAGCUAUUAGUUUUAAGAUCGAGAUUAUCAAUUUUAUUUCCCUUGCUUUUCUUUCUUAAUAGCAAAGCAGUACAUAAAAGAAAAAAAGAAAGAGAUCAUUUAAGACUGAAUUUAUCACUUCUACUUUUAUUUCUUUUUCUUUCUCAGCAGCCAAACUGAGCAUAGAAGGAAAAUUGAGGAUAAAUUAUCAAUUUUCUUCUAGUCUCUCAUCCUUUCAUAUUACCAAAUAGGAGCAUAAAAAAAAAAAGAAAAAAAAGAAGGGGGAGAAAAACAAAUGGUACCAUGAGAAGAAGAACACCCAAUCGAGCAUCUAUUAGCUUAAAGAUUGAGAUUAUCAAAUUUUCCUCUCAUUUCCUUCCUUUUCCUUAACAGCCAAAAAAAAAAAUGGAGUACAAGAACAACGUCCAAUCGAGUUAAUAUUUUAGGUUUAAGAUUGGAAACAUCAAUUCUCUUGUCUCCUUUAUUUUCUCAGCAGUCAAACGGAGUAUAUAAGAGAGAAAAAAAACACUAAUUUUUAAAGUGAGGGAUUAUCAAUUUUCUUCUCCUUUCUUCUCUGUUCUCGGCAGUCAAACGGUGCAUUAAAACAAAAAAAAAUCAUAAUUUUAAGGAAGAGCUAAUCAAUUUUCUUCUCGUCCCAUGGGAGCAUAAAAAAAAAUGGUGACAUGAAAUGAACAAAGUCCAUCCAGGCAGAGCAACAAGUCUUAAAGAUCAAAAUUAUCAAGUUCCUUUUCGUUUCAUUCUUCUCUCUUUCUCAGCAGCCAAACCAAAACACCACAACAUCAGCCGUCCCACAAUAGAGCCCACACCUUAUUCGCCACAAUUCAACUUGGUUGCCGACCAUCGAACAGAGCUAUUACUUUCAACAUUGAAGUUAACAUUUUUUUUUCCUUUCCGUUUCCAUUCUUCUUCUCACCAUCCAAACAACAAAAACAACAAAAAACUCAGAAUACCUGUUGCUGCCUGGCUACUUGCUCCCUCAGCUUGCUUGCCUGCUUGCGAAUGGCCUCCAUAUUCAAAGUGAAGAAACCAGUUGUAUCUUGCAAGAAACGAGAGAAAAUGAUCGAGAAAAACCCUAGAUCUGCUAACAAAAUAUGAUGGAGACAGAGAGAUACUGACAGAGAGGGCGGUGGGGUGAGGACAAGGGUCACUCCCCAGUGUGGAAAACGCUGGAAAGUACCUAACCCACCACUGGGAUAACUGUUAGGAAAGUCGAAAGCGAUGGGAUUUUGGGGGAUAGCGCGUUGCGCCUUGGCAUCUGGUGAUAACACCUGGCCAGACCAUGGAGGGUCGGAGUAUUGGACCAAGAUAAUAUUUUUUUAUAUUAAAAAUAAAGCAUAUCCUACAAAUCCAGUGCCUCUUAAUACACGUGGAUAGCAUAUGUAUAAAAUUUUAUUAUUAUUAUUAGGGUUAAAUAAAUUUUAUUCCUUGACCUUUGACUUGUUUCAUAUUUUGUUCCCUCCUAUUUAAACCUUAACACUUUGCUCCCCAAAAUGAUUAAAAUGCAAUACUUUAUCGCCUAAGCUUAUUAAAAAGUUAAUAAAUGGUUUCUUAAGUUUAAAAAAAAAAAAAAACCCAAUGCUAAAAUAAAUAAAAAAGUUGAAAUAAAGAAGAACUUUUGUUACCCAAAUUCUACAUUGACAUACUUUAUAGUUACAUAUGAGAAUCACAAAUAGUCAUCGAACAUCUCUUGAAAAUAAAAAAUAAAAAUUGGUAGCUAUUAUAUUUUGAAAUCAUUCGAGAAAUUUUAUUUUAAAGUUGUUAGUUCAAAGUUGGUUAUUAUUAUUAUUAUUAUUAUUCCUUUAGAAUUUGAAAGAAAAAAAAUUCUCAUCUUUUUCUUCUACUUCAUUCUCAUCUUCUUCUACUUCAUUUUCUUCUUUUCAGGUGCAUUGGACGAAAAACUCAUAUUUCCUUCACAAACCCUACAAAAUUUCUCAUCUAUCAUUCCCAAACUCUAGAAAAUUUCAACUCUCAUCCUCUGUUUCAUUUUCAAUUCCUAAAAAAAUUCUUAUUAUAUUUUUGUCAAGUUAUCUCAUAUUAUAUCUUCAAGCAUGAAAGAAAAAAAAAAUGAGUUCAUCGAAUAGUGAUAAGAGAAAGAGCUUUAAAAUGAUGGUGAAAAAGCAAAAAUCCUAAUUACAAAUGGACAAAGAGAGUGAAGCUAUUUAGCAAAAAUCCCUAUUACCAACAAAAGAGAAAAGUGAAUAUGCUAAACUAGUGAGUGUAGUCUUUACAUUUUAUAAAUUUUUGGAAUUUUUAAAGAUGUUAUACAAAAAUUUAGGAACUUUGAAGUGCAUUCAAAAUAUAAAAUUGUAUAUAUAUAGUUCUCCAUUGUUAUCAAUUUUGUAUUUGGAGUGCAUAAAUUUAGAUUUGUUGGUUGAUGUUUAAAAAUAUUUGGAAACAAUUAAAGUGUGUUGAAAAAUAAUAGCUUGCAUAUUAAUAUUAUUUUAGUUUUCUGUAUUAUUAUCAAUCAUGUGUUUAGAGUGAAUUAGAUAUAUUCAAUGUAAAAGCAUCUAAUUAGGGAUAAGUUUAUAAAGAAUUUAUGAAAUUUUAGGGAUUUUUAGAAAAUUUAGGGGUAUUUUAUAAGAGUGUUUGAGUAGGUUUGUGUUUGUUUCUUGAUGCUUUUAAAAUUUUGGGAACUAUUGAAAUGUAUUUAAAAUAAUAAAUUGUAUAUUUAUAAUUUUUGUAGUUCUAUAUUAUUGUCAAUUAUGUAUGUAGAGUGAAUAAAAAAUAUAAAAUGAUUUCAUGCAAUGACAUGUGAUUAAGGAUAAGUUUUUAGAGGAUUAAUGAAAUUUUAGGGAUUUUUGAACUUUUUAGUGAUGUUAUGCUAUGGUGUUUGACUAGGGUUAGAUUUCUUAGUUAAUGUCUUUAAAAUUUUGGGAACUAUUGGAGUGCUAUUAGGUUAAUAAGUAAUUGUAUAAUAUUUAUAAUUUUGUAUUAAAUCUUUACUAACUUUAUUUUAUUUAAUUUACAAACUUCUACUCCCUCAACAUGUCUUAUAGUUAAAAUACUUAUAGAAGA
rnacentral:lncRNA from 1 species